GGGGAAGUAGCUCAAUGGUAGAGCCCCCUCUUGAAAAGGGUUCUUACGAGAACCUUUUCCAAGGGGACGGUUGUGGGUUCAACUCCCAUCUUCCCCA
rnacentral:tRNA from 3 species